rnacentral:tRNA from 1 species
GCCAGCCGUCGAACGCUCUCGUAAAGCGUAGGUCACCGGUUCGAUUCCGGUAGGUGGCUCCA